UACGAAGGGGGCGAGCGUUGUUCGGAAUCACUGGGCGUAAAGGGAGCGUAGGCGGGCUCUUAAGUUGGAUGUUUAAAACCGGGGCCCAACCCCGGCGUGGCAUCCAAAACUGGGAGUCUUGAAUGGAACAGAGGCUAGUGGAAUUGGAGGUGUAGCGGUGGAAUGCGUAGAGAUCUCCAAGAACACCCGUUGCGAAGGCGGCUAGCUGGGUUCACAUUGACGCUGAGGCUCGAAAGCGUGGGGAGCAAACAGG
rnacentral:rRNA from 1 species